AUUUUAACUUCCUUUUCUUUAAUUAUUUAUUUUGUCAUUAAAAUGUUUUGGGGGAGGUAUUCUCGUUUUCAGUUUUAAGUUCAACACGAAUUUUUGACCUAUAUGUUAGUACAUAUCUAUUUUGACUAUUUUGACACUAUAGUAUUUUUCGUACUUAUUUUUGAACUUACGUCUAUAUAUGUUUUCAACUUUAUAUCUUAUUAAAGUAUGUUUCUACUUUUACACUGAUGGGGAAGAAAGUAAGAGCUUGGAGGCAUGAUAGAGGAUUUGGCAACCCGCUCGCGACGGUGUGGCAUAUUCUCUUUGAUGCACCCACUCUGACUUGAAUUCUCUUUAUACAUAUAUUCUUCUUCCUAUUUUCGAGUAUUUCGGUUUAAGUUGUGAUUUUAAAUUUCGGGACGAAAUUCUUUUAAGGGGGGUAGAUUGUAACAACCCGUCCCGGAAUUUACGGAAGAAAAUGGGUAUUUUUGUAUUUUCACUAAGUUUGGGGAUACCUUCCUUUUUAAAAUUGUUUUUGAACCUUAUUUGGUGAGCCCAAGGGGCCCAUCCCCUGUUUUGUCCCCCCCUGCCGUGUCCCUCCUCUCUUCUUUCUUCUUUCUUCUUUUUCUUUUUUCUUCUUUUCCUUCUUUUCUUUUGUUGUCUGCACCUUUUUCCUUUCUUUUCGAAAACUCUCAUUCCUCUUCUUCUUCUUCUUCUACCCGUGACACACACACACUCACACACACCCAUUGUUGCACCUGCUUGAGGACAUAGCCACCAUCAUCAUCAUCAUCAAACCUUAGCUCUCUCUCUCUCUCUCUCUCUCCCUUGCUCACGGCGCCAAGAGGGUACGAGCACCUCCGGCGAAUUUAGCUUGUUUUCCGGUUGGGUUUUGGAGUGCUUUGGCACGGGUGAAGGCACCCAAAUUUUCCGGCGAGUGUGUGUGGUUUCCGAGGGAUUUUCCGGCCACCACAAGCCGUUACACGGCUAACCCAAGGGGCAAUUAUCGAUGGCGUUUCCUUCUUCGCUAGAUGACGUGGCUUUUCGACGGCGAAGUAC